rnacentral:rRNA from 1 species
UGGGGAAUAUUGCACAAUGGGCGCAAGCCUGAUGCAGCCAUGCCGCGUGUGUGAAGAAGGCCUUCGGGUUGUAAAGCACUUUCAGCGAGGAGGAAGGUGGUGAGCUUAAUACGCUCAUCAAUUGACGUUACUCGCAGAAGAAGCACCGGCUAACUCCGUGCCAGCAGCCGCGGUAAUACGGAGGGUGCAAGCGUUAAUCGGAAUUACUGGGCGUAAAGCGCACGCAGGCGGUUUGUUAAGUCAGAUGUGAAAUCCCCGGGCUCAACCUGGGAACUGCAUUUGAAACUGGCAAGCUAGAGUCUCGUAGAGGGGGGUAGAAUUCCAGGUGUAGCGGUGAAAUGCGUAGAGAUCUGGAGGAAUACCGGUGGCGAAGGCGGCCCCCUGGACGAAGACUGACGCUCAGGUGCGAAAGCGUGGGGCAGCAAACAGGAUUAGAUACCCCUGGUAGUCCACGCUGUAAACGAUGUCGAUUUUGGAGGUUGUGCCCUUGAGGCGUGGCUUCCGGAGCUAACGCGUUAAAUCGACCGCCUGGGGAGUACGGCCGCAAGG